AGACCCGAAACCCGGUGAUCUAGCCAUGGGCAGGUUGAAGGUUGGGUAACACUAACUGGAGGACCGAACCGACUAAUGUUGAAAAAUUAGCGGAUGACCUGUGGCUGGGGGUGAAAGGCCAAUCAAACCGGGAGAUAGCUGGUUCUCCCCGAAAGCUAUUUAGGUAGCGCCUCGUGAAUUCAUCUCCGGGGGUAGAGCACUGUUUCGGCUAGGGGGCCAUCCCGGCUUACCAACCCGAUGCAAACUGCGAAUACCGGAGAAUGUUAUCACGGGAGACACACGGCGGGUGCUAACGUCCGUCGUGAAGAGGGAAACAACCCAGACCGCCAGCUAAGGUCCCAAAGUCAUGGUUAAGUGGGAAACGAUGUGGGAAGGCCCAGACAGCCAGGAUGUUGGCUUAGAAGCAGCCAUCAUUUAAAGAAAGCGUAAUAGCUCACUGGUCGAGUCGGCCUGCGCGGAAGAUGUAACGGGGCUAAACCAUGCACCGAAGCUGCGGCAGCGACGCUUAUGCGUUGUUGGGUAGGGGAGCGUUCUGUAAGCCUGCGAAGGUGGCCUGUGAGGGUUGCUGGAGGUAUCAGAAGUGCGAAUGCUGACAUAAGUAACGAUAAAGCGGGUGAAAAGCCCGCUCGCCGGAAGACCAAGGGUUCCUGUCCAACGUUAAUCGGGGCAGGGUGAGUCGACCCCUAAGGCGAGGCCGAAAGGCGUAGUCGAUGGGAAACGGGUUAAUAUUCCCGUACUUGGUGUUACUGCGAAGGGGGGACGGAGAAGGCUAUGUUGGCCGGGCGACGGUUGUCCCGGUUUAAGCGUGUAGGUGUGUGUUCCAGGUAAAUCCGGUUCACUUUAACACUGAGGCGUGACGACGAGGCACUACGGUGCUGAAGCAACAAAUGCCCUGCUUCCAGGAAAAGCCUCUAAGCAUCAGGUAACAUCAAAUCGUACCCCAAACCGACACAGGUGGUCAGGUAGAGAAUACCAAGGCGCUUGAGAGAACUCGGGUGAAGGAACUAGGCAAAAUGGUGCCGUAACUUCGGGAGAAGGCACGCUGACACGUAGGUGAAGUGAUUUACUCACGGAGCUGAAGUCAGUCGAAGAUACCAGCUGGCUGCAACUGUUUAUUAAAAACACAGCACUGUGCAAACACGAAAGUGGACGUAUACGGUGUGACGCCUGCCCGGUGCCGGAAGGUUAAUUGAUGGGGUCAGCGCAAGCGAAGCUCCUGAUCGAAGCCCCGGUAAACGGCGGCCGUAACUAUAACGGUCCUAAGGUAGCGAAAUUCCUUGUCGGGUAAGUUCCGACCUGCACGAAUGGCGUAAUGAUGGCCAGGCUGUCUCCACCCGAGACUCAGUGAAAUUGAACUCGCUGUGAAGAUGCAGUGUACCCGCGGCAAGACGGAAAGACCCCGUGAACCUUUACUAUAGCUUGACACUGAACAUUGAGCCUUGAUGUGUAGGAUAGGUGGGAGGCUUUGAAGCGUGGACGCCAGUCUGCGUGGAGCCGACCUUGAAAUACCACCCUUUAAUGUUUGAUGUUCUAACGUGGACCCGUUA
rnacentral:rRNA from 1 species